rnacentral:lncRNA from 1 species
GAUGUACAGAGUGGAUUCCAGUCGGUACGUUAAAUAUGCUCCGAGUGGAUCGUCGCCGACUAGACGAUGGGGGCGUCCUUAGUUCAGUCGGAACUGUCUAAGGACCUUGUCUUCUAUGAAGGGUAGUCCUUGGGUAGGACCUAUAGGGCAGGCCUAUGACCCUACCCUGGGACUAUAACCCCAUCAUUAGUCCCCGAAUGGAUCGGGAUUGGAACGAUGAAGUGAUGUCUGGAGUAUGGAUCCGACUGGUAUGGAGGUGACUUUAGCGUUGUUUGCCUCGAUCCAUUUUAUCCUUUCAACCAGUGAUCCGAGUGAAUAUACCAGUGAAACGAACCAUCAGGGACCGAGUGCUGCCGCGGAAUCUUUCGACGUGAC